rnacentral:lncRNA from 1 species
UGUACGCAGCUGACUGCGCCUCCCGCGGUGGCCCUCGGCGGUCCUCUGCCCCGGCCUGGCCUCCUGGUCGCCGCUCAGCCCCGCAGCUCCUCCCGGAGGUCUGCAAGCCCCGGACCGGCCAGCUCACGUCCAGGCUCCAAGAAGGGAUCCGCCGGGGCGCACCCUCUUCCGUCCCCCGGCACGAGCCCAGUCUCUGGACGCCUCCGGGAGAACUGGGCCAAGCACAGGGUGGUCGCGGCGCAGGGAGAGCAUCUGCAAACGUUGGUCCCUGUAGUGCUUUGAAUUUCCCCGAAGAGCUCUUAGACCCGCCCCGGGAGAGUGGGGUUGCGGGGGUGGUAGCAUGGGGAGCUCAGCAGGAUUCAGCCCGCACCUCGGCUCCGGGUAGUCGGGAACCGCGCGGAGCGCCCUGCAAGAGGCCACGGCUCCCCCGCCGCUGUAGAAGGCCGGACCGUGAAAGCCCGGAGGGUCUCCGUUCGGGCAAAAAUGUGGGGGCGGGUCGCAGCAUUUCCAACGCCCCCUGGGGCUAGUCCAUUACUGCUCGAGCCAGGGCCGCCAAGGGCACCUACUCCAGCCCAGGUCCGAGAGCGCGGCAUGCCUCCCGGCCGGGAGCCAAAUGUUUCCAGGGAGCCGGUGGCCUCCACAACCGGACCGCAAGCUCGCGAGGGCAGGGCCGGCCCGCCGCGCCAGGGACUGCUGGGCGCUGCGCGGGAAGCGAGGCUGGGUUCGGGGAGGACCGCGCGCCCUGGGAAUCAAGGAGCAAACCAACCCGUCCGCAGGCCCCUGUUUCCCUAUCUGUGAAAUGAGUGGUUGGACCAAAGCUUCCUCUCAGGUCCCUUCCAGCACCCCUCUCUGAGCUCUGAGCAGUCCUCACCCCACAUGCAUGCCUUUGCAGGUUCUCCGACCUCCCUUCCAUUUCUGAGCUUUCAUCUUUUUCUGUAACGGCAUAAAAAUAUCCUCCUUAUGGCCGGGCGCGGUGGCUCAUGCCUGUAAUACCAGCACUUUGGGAGGCCGAGGUGGGCGGAUCACCUUAGGUCUGGAGUUCGAGACCAGCCUGACCCGCAUGGAGAAACCCCGUCUCUACUAAAAAUACAAAAUUAGCCGGGUGUGGUGGCACAUGCCUGUAAUCCCAGCUACUAGGGAGUCUGAGGCAGGAGAAUCGCUUGAACCUGGGAGGCGGAGGUUGCGGUGAGCUGAGAUUUCACCAUUGAACUCCAGCCUGGGCAACAAGAGCGAAACUCUGUCUCAAAAAAAAAAAAAAAAAAAAAAAAAUUCCUCCUUACCUCCCUGUCCCUGAUUCUAGCGCCAGUCUGUGGCUGUCCAGGAGUGGGGUGGGGAGGGUCUCUUCCUGCCUCUCUCAGUUCUUUUCUGUCCCAUCUGUCUUUCCCCUUCUCUCCCCAAAGCUCUAGCCACUAGUUAUUUUCCAGGGUUUUUCCUCUAUGCCCCCCGCCAGUAUCAUCUCUGCCCUUGUCCCUCCAUAGCUGCGCCUGGCCAUCCCCCCUCCCUGCUCUCUUACCUCCACAUCUGACGGUCUGCAGAGUCCUGGGUGUGGCCCCUGGACUCCCCGUUGGCUCCUUAGACUGUCCCUGUCCAAUCUUUCUUCCACUCCCCACUCCCGCACCUGCCUGUCCUCCUUCCUUCCUCAAUGAAUGGUGCCCCCACCUGUCUGGUCUGUGCCAUGGGUCCAGGCAAGUGCAAGGUUCCGGUCUUGGUAAUUAGAAUGCUGGAGCCACUGACAAAGAUUUCAGAGAGAGAAAGGAUUUCUAAAUUUGUUCUUGAGUAGGUUAAGGUUAUUUCAAAAUCAAGAGAAGGCCUUGAUGGAUCGAUAUGUGAGUUGAGAUAGCCACAGCCUUUGUUAUGUCAGUUGUGUGAAGUGCUUGUAAAAUCACUAUUUUAUUUUUUAAUUUUUAAUUAAUUAUUUACUUAUUGAGACACAGUCUCACUCUGUCGCCCAGGCUGUAGUACAGUGGUGUGAUCUCAGCUCACUGCAACCUCCACCUCCUGGCUUCAAGCGAUUCUCCUGCCUCAGCCUCCCAAGUAGCUGGGAUUAUAGGCAUGUGCCACCACACCCGGCUAAUUUUGUACUUUUAGUAGAGACGGGGUUUCUCUAUGUUGGUCAGGCUGGUCUCAAACUCCCAACCUCAGGUGAUCCUCAGGAUUAUAGACGUGAGCCACCGCGCCCAGCUGCACAGCUCUUACAGCUAUAAAUUCCAGAUCCUCUGAAGCUUUAUUUUCUUCUCUAAGUAUAGAUGAUAAUUUUGAUCACAGAUUUUAUUUUGAUGCAAGUAGGAUUGGAAUAAAGCCCAGUCACUAUGCCCAGGAAAGUCAAAGUGUCAAGAACAAAAAAAUUUCAGUAUUGGCCGGGCGCGGUGGCUCAUGCCUGUAAUCCCAGCACUUUGGGAGGCCGAGGUGGGCGGAUCACAAGGUCAGGAGAUAGAGACCAUCCUGGCUAACAUGGUGAAACCCCAUCUCUACUAAAAAUACAAAAAAAUUAGCCGGGCGUGGUGGCGGGCACCUGUAGUCCCAGCUACUCGGGAGGCUAAGGCAGGAGAAUGGCGUGAACCCAUGAGGCGGAGCUUGCAGUAAGCGGAGAUCGCGCCACUGCACUCCUGCCACUGUACUCCAGCCUGGGCGACUCCGUCUCAAAAAAAAAAAAAAAGAAAUUUCUGUAUCAAUUCUGGGAGGGCAGGUACCAUAGAUUCUAGAAUCAGAAUGCAUUUUAUUUUUAUUUAUUUUAUUUUUGAGACAGAAUCUCACUCUAUUGCCCAGGCUGGAGUGCAGUAGUGUGAUCUCAGCUUACUGCAACCUCCGCCUCUUGGGUUUAAGCGAUUCUCAUGCCUCAGCCUCCCGAGUGGCUGGAAUUAUAGGCGCACACCACCAUGCCCAGCUAAUUUUUGUAUUUUUAGUAGAAAUGCACUCUCACCAUGUUGGCCAGGCUGGUCUUGAACUCCUGGCCUCAAGUGAUCCGCCCACCUCGGCCUCCCAAAGUGCUGGGAUUACAGAAGUGAGCCAUCGUGCUGGCCCUGAAAGCAUUUUAAUCCUAGUUUCAUGUAUUACCUAACCAAGAUCUUUACCAAGUCUUGGCCAACUCAAGCUCCUUCCUUAGUUUUACAAUCAGGUUGACCUAAUCGCUGUAGAACUUUCUGCUCCUUCCUCAAUUUGCAGAGCUUUGAUUAAAAUGGAAAAUUACAGCCGGGCACAGUGGCUUGUGCCUGUAAUCCCAGCCCUUUGGGAGACUGAGGCUGCCGAAUGACUUGAGGUCAGGAGUUCCAGACCAGCCUGGGCAACAUGGCAAAACCCCAUCUCUACUAAAAAUACAAAAAAUUAGGCCAGGUGCAGUGGCUCACGCCUGUAAUCCCAGCACUUUGGGAGGCCGAGGCAGGCGGAUCACGAGGUCAGGAGGUUGAGACCAUCCUGGUUAACACAGUGAAACCCUGUCUCUACUAAAAAAUACAAAAAAUUAGCCAGGCAUGGUGGCAGGCACCUGUAGUCCCAGCUACUCGGGAGGCUGAGGCAGGAGAAUGGUGUGAACCCGGGAGGCAGAGCUUGCAGUGAGCCAACAUAGCGCCAUCUGUACUCCAGCCUGGGCGACAGAGCUGUCUCAAUAAUAAUAAUAAUAAAAAUACAAAAAAUUAGCUUGGCGUGGUGGUACAUGCCUGUAAUCCCAGUUACUCAAGAUGCUGAGGCAUGAGAAUCGCUUGAACCUGGAAGGCAGAGGCUGCAGUGAGCCGAGAUUGGGCCACUGCACUCCCGCCUGGGUGACAGAGUGAGACUCUGUCUCAAAAAUAAUUAAUUAAUUAAAAUAAAAUAGAAAAUUACAAAAUUAUAGAAUAAAAUGUGUUUUAUUCAUGUUUUACAAAGUCUUUAUUAUCUGGAUUGGGGAUGCACAACCCACACUUAACCCCAGGUCUUAGGUCCAGAGUGGUGGUGGAGGACUUUAGCCCAGAUCCAGUGACAGGACAAGUAAACAAUGACACAUUGGGCUUUCUGCCCUCAGGUUACAGUAUCUCCACAUGUAAGUGCUUAGAAUAUAGUGCAGUGAAUAAUAAGAAUAGAGAAAACUGAGCAAGGGCUCUCCAGUGGCCAAAGAUUCUCAUUCCUGAGAAGCAAAAAUUAGGUGAGGUAACUUGUCAGAGGAAGCAAAUUCAGGGCUCACUAGAGAGCACAGAGCAUUUGUCCAUCAGCAGUUCAGUCAUCGCCAGCUCUCCUGGUACCCUCGAACACUUCAGAAACACACACAAGUCAAGUCCCUCGAUGGCUACACUAGGCGCCUAUGGCUGGAGCCUCCUUGGCACGAGCGCACCAUCCGAGGCACAGCUGCACUUCUGCACCCUCAUGUUGGGCAGGCUGACCACCUGGGGCCUGGUCCUGCCUCCCUCCUUGAUGCUGACGAUCAUGGGCAGCGAGUCAGUCUCCGAGGCGAUGCACUGUCGAGGCCCCAGAAACGGCCACUUGAAGGCCAGGGCCUCCGGGGGCUGCCGGCAGGUGCCCACACACUCAUAAGCCAGGAAGCCCGGGGGCUCCAGCACCCAGUUCUCGGCCCACUUCAUCCCCUGCAGGUCAAUGUACAUCUCCUGGCGGCAGCAGCGGGUGCCCUCGGUCAUUGGUGCUUCAGGGUCACAGUCGCCCUGAGCUCUGUGUGGGCAAAGAGAGCAGGGUCAGCGGUCAGCUGGGAGGGCUGAGGUCAGAGGGCGUCUGGGAUGGAGAUUUAUGAUCCACCUCUCAACUUCAAAAAGCUGGAUGUUUGUGAUAUAGGAUGGACAGCUAGAAAUAACUUGAAA